UACGGGAGGCAGCAGUGGGGAAUAUUGCACAAUGGGCGCAAGCCUGAUGCAGCCAUGCCGCGUGUAUGAAGAAGGCCUUCGGGUUGUAAAGUACUUUCAGCGGGGAGGAAGGGAGUAAAGUUAAUACCUUUGCUCAUUGACGUUACCCGCAGAAGAAGCACCGGCUAACUCCGUGCCAGCAGCCGCGGUAAUACGGAGGGUGCAAGCGUUAAUCGGAAUUACUGGGCGUAAAGCGCACGCAGGCGGUUUUGUUAAGUCAGAUGUGAAAUCCCCGGGCUCAACCUGGGAACUGCAUCUGAUACUGGCAAGCUUGAGUCUCGUAGAGGGGGUAGAAUUCCAGGUGUAGCGGUGAAAUGCGUAGAGAUCUGGGAGGAAUACCGGUGGCGAAGGCGGGCCCCUGGGACGAGACUGACGCUCAGGUGCGAAAGCGUGGGGAGCGAAACAGGGAUUAGGAUAAC
rnacentral:rRNA from 1 species